UUGAUCCUUCGCGCGUACAUCAACUCGAACUCCAGACCUCCUCCUGUCCCUGCGCUCUACAUCCUGCUGCUGACCACUGCACCAAUCUUUCCUUUAUACCAUAAUAGGGUCACAACUAAUCUUAAUCUAUUCCUGCUGAAGCCUCGGUUACUUGCGAAAUAAAAAGGAAAUUUCGCCUGCUAUACAUCUCGAACCUGCAACAUCCUAAACAUACACAUACGCUACUUGCCACUGCACCGAAGUUCCUUUCAUGACAUAAUCUUCUCACAAUUAAUUUUAAGGCUUAACUGCUGCAGUCACGGCUACUUAAAAAUAAAUCAAAAUUUUGCCUUCCCCUGGAAUCGAGCCCACAUCCUCUCGGCAUGCCUAGCACGCUGCUGCCACUACGCCACAGGCGCUCCUUGUGGCAUACUCCGUUCGCGAAUUCCUUUAAAGCCUAUUUUAGUGCAACCCGUUUACUAAAAAAAUAAACGUCUCACGCACCCUGUGCCUCGAACUAGGGUCCCUUUCAGCCUUCUAACGUCCCUUGCCAUUGGGCUGAGUUCCUUAUUGUGACAUGAGUUAGCCCCAACAACUCUUAAGGCCUGCCUGCGAUAGCCCUUGACUUAAAAACAUGUUUGCUCACGCUAGAAAUCGAACCCCAGCCUUCCUUCCUGCUGCCUAGGAGACUAACCACUGGGCCAGGCGUUCCUUUAUGCCCAGCUUCUGCCCAACUUAUUUUUGAGGCCUUAUGCCCAGAUUUCCUUAAGAGGCAAAAUUUAAGAAUGUUGCUAAAGCUAUGGGUCGAGCCCUGAACUUUUUCCCACACCAUAAACCCUUCGUAAUUUAUUUUCUUACUAACUAAACAUACUAAAUAUUAAUAAUAAAAAUUAAAACAUCCAAAUUAUUCGGGCCGUCUUCUACCCGAACCUAGACUCAAGGCCCAAUAUUUUUAGGCCCGAAAAUCGGGGCGUUACAUAACAUGUUUAUUUCAUCAUGCUUUGAACAACAAUAAACAACCAUUGUCCUAUUAAGAUACAGG
rnacentral:lncRNA from 1 species